GAUGAACGCUAGCUACAGGCUUAACACAUGCAAGUCGAGGGGAAACGGCAUUAAGUGCUUGCACUUUUUGGACGUCGACCGGCGCACGGGUGAGUAACGCGUAUCCAACCUUCCCAUGACUAAGGGAUAACCUGCCGAAAGGCAGACUAAUACCUUAUGGUCUUCACUGACGGCAUCAGAUGUGAAGUAAAGAUUUAUCGGUUAUGGAUGGGGAUGCGUCUGAUUAGCUUGUUGGCGGGGUAACGGCCCACCAAGGCAACGAUCAGUAGGGGUUCUGAGAGGAAGGUCCCCCACAUUGGAACUGAGACACGGUCCAAACUCCUACGGGAGGCAGCAGUGAGGAAUAUUGGUCAAUGGGCGAGAGUCUGAACCAGCCAAGUAGCGUGCAGGAUGACGGCCCUAUGGGUUGUAAACUGCUUUUGUAUGGGGAUAAAGUCAAUCACGUGUGAUUGUUUGCAGGUACCAUACGAAUAAGAACCGGCUAAUUCCGUG
rnacentral:rRNA from 1 species